CCUACGGGAGGCAGCAGUGGGGGAUAUUGCACAAUGGGGGAAACCCUGAUGCAGCGACGCCGCGUGUGGGAAGACGGUCCUCUGGAUUGUAAACCACUGUCCCCAGGGACGAAGAUGACGGUACCUGGGGAGGAAGCUCCGGCUAACUACGUGCCAGCAGCCGCGGUAAUACGUAGGGAGCGAGCGUUGUCCGGAAUUACUGGGUGUAAAGGGAGCGUAGGCGGGAAAGCAAGUUGAAUGUUUAAGGUACGGGCUCAACCUGUACAAGCGUUCAAAACUGUUUUUCUUGAGUGGAGUAGAGGUAA
rnacentral:rRNA from 1 species